GGGGAUUAAGUUUCCAACACAUGAACUUUGGUGGAUGCAUUCAAACCACAGCACCAGGGUUCCUACUAUGUCACCUCCAGAGGCACCCAGAGAGGAAGGUUUUGAGUUAAUCACUUCAUAAUUUAUAGCCCUUGAGCCAGCAGAGAGCCCACGCAGAAAGCACCCUAUUUCCUAGGUCUCGGGUGGCAUGGAGGGGUCAUAGAAUUUUCCACACUCCUUGACGGAGGUUCUUAACCCUUAUCCAUCAGCAUUCUCAGACAGCACCUCCGGUUAGGGACAGUAUCUGACCGUCCGACAUCCCUGCAGCCCCCAUGCUGUCACACAGACUCAGCCUCAGGUAGAUGGUUUCCGUAGAUGGUGGCUUUCUUUGGACCCUUGAUAUCAACCAGUUACUAUUU
rnacentral:antisense_RNA from 1 species